UGCGGGGUGGGGCAGCGGUCAGCCCGCUUGGCUCAUAACCAAGAGGUCGGCGGUUCGAAUCCGCCCCCCGCAUCCA
rnacentral:tRNA from 1 species